UGAUGAUGCUAGAUUGAGACAUCUCGGCAGUGUGCUAAGACAAGUACAGAACGAUAUUCUGCUACAAAAAGCACAACUAUUACUGGGAACCAUAAAUUUGCUUCAAGAAACUCUUAAUGAAGAUGAAAUGAGAGAUAAUGUCUUUGGUAAGUCUUAGAGACAAUGAGAACAAAAAAAGGCAGAAAGUAAAUUGCAUUUUAUUAAUACUGUUUAUUAUUUAAAUUUUAGGCCCUGCUCCUAGACGUUCAAAUAGUAGGGAAGGAAUUCCUCCUCUCAGUAAGAUAUCAAUUUAAAUAUGUAUGUGUGUGUGUGUGUGUGUGUGUGUGUUUCUAAUCUGAAAGUUUGCAGAUGAUCAAAAAAUACUUAUAACUGUAUUUUUAAUAACAUUUUACAUAGCAAUUUUAUUUUUUAUCUUGUGAUUACCUGCAAUGGGAGACGAUGGCAUGCACCAGACACACACAAUGGAGGCGGGCAGACAUGUUUUUUAGAGCGAAAUUUCGAUAUGCACAUUACCAGCACAACACAUUCAAGUGCACCAAACAUGGCUAGACAUCAUGGUGCUCAAAACAGAAGACGAACAAGUGAAGGGAAUAUUACCGCUCAGCAAGAGCUGUCACAGCUAAUUAUACAAACACAGAAUCUGCUAAGAAAUAUAAGAGGGGAAUCAACCAUUGUCCCUACAAGUACUAGGACACAUGGACAGGAGAACCCUGGAACAUCAAUACAAAGUAUUGCCACAGAGCAAGAGAGAUCCUCCUCGGCUGUACAAUCACAGGUACGAGAAAUAGAAAGACCAUCAGAAUCAGUCAUGACACUAGCUGGAGAAUCAACACGAGCAUCAGAGAGGCCAGAAGACAGAAGGCAAAGGACUCGACAGAGGCAUCAAAGCAUACAGAACAUGUGCCAGAUUAUGUAAUUAUUAAUCACAAAGUAGGAGAUAUACAAGUAUUGCUAGUCUAUUGGGGUUAAGCAUGUUUAUAGAACAAUCUUAGUAUCUUUGUAUAUUUAACUGCAUAUUUAAUGAAUGUGUCACGUUGGAGUAGACUGGAAUCAGUCACAAUUUUUUGUGAAAUCCCAAAAACCACACACUCUCACUCCAAUACCCUGCUCCAAAAACAAUUUCUGUUGUAUCCAGAAGCCUGUAUAAAGGACAGACUCACAUCAAAUACAAUAACUGUAUCAAUAAAGAUAUAGUUUUCAAAAUUGUUCCAAAUUUAAAAGAAUAUCAGAGUCCACACCACAACUAAAACGAUAACGGCACAGAGCAACAAUAUUGUUGAAAUCACUUUCAUAACAAUCUUUUCCAGCUGAUGAACGAUAAACACAUGGACAGGCAAUCAGUAUCUAACUGACUUUAAUGAGCUCGAGCGUUUCAAGUGGCAGACGACAAAACUCCAGUGCGCACUUAUAAUAAACAGUGAUCAUGUUGGUGUGGACGCUAAUGUAGUUAUUGUUAUAGUUAUCUUAGCCAUCACAAAACUCUAAUAGCGAUUCUGUGAUGUCAGAAAAAUAAAUUGGACAUUUUAUAAUCGCUUGAAGAUUGAAGUAGUUGUAAGUGGGAGGGAAAGUUAUUGUGGUUUAAAAUUAAAGGCACAUGGGUUUAAAAAUAAUGAUGUGCACGAAUAAGUACUUUAUAAUAAACACUGCAAUAUUCCAUAAAAAUAAUAAGAAUGGUCAACCUUGAUUUCAUGAUGACUUUAAAAACAUGGUUGCUUCAAAAUUCAGACCUGACUUAAAUUUGAUGGAGA
ensembl:lncRNA